rnacentral:tRNA from 1 species
GGCCGGAUGGUGUAGUUGGUUAUCACGUAUCGUUAAUACCGAUAAGGUCCUGGGAUCGAGCCCCAGUCUGGUCA